GACAAACGCUGGCGGCGUACCUAAGACAUGCAAGUCGAACGGACGCUGGUACCUUCGGGUACAAGUGUGAGUGGCGGAUGGGUGAGUAACGCGUAGGAACCUGUCAUCAAGUGGGGGAUACCGCUGGGAAACUGGCGCUAAUACCGCAUGUGGUCAGCGAUGAAGAAAGCAGCAAUGCGCUUGAUGAGGGGCCUGCGUCCGAUUAGCUUGUUGGUGGGGUAAAAGCCUACCAAGGCGACGAUCGGUAGCUGGUCUGAGAGGAUGGUCAGCCACACUG
rnacentral:rRNA from 1 species